GACGAACGCUGGCGGCGUGCUUAACACAUGCAAGUCGAACGAUGAAGCUGGAGCUUGCUCCAGUGGAUUAGUGGCGAACGGGUGAGUAACACGUGAGCAAUCUGCCCUUGACUCCGGGAUAACUGCGGGAAACUGUAGCUAAUACCGGAUACGACACCUUGGGGCAUCCCGGGGUGUGGAAAGAAUUUCGGUCAAGGAUGAGCUCGCGGCCUAUCAGCUUGUUGGUGAGGUAAAGGCUCACCAAGGCGACGACGGGUAGCCGGCCUGAGAGGGUGACCGGCCACACUGGAACUGAGACACGGUCCAGACUCCUACGGGAGGCAGCAGUGGGGAAUAUUGCACAAUGGGCGAAAGCCUGAUGCAGCAACGCCGCGUGAGGGAUGACGGCCUUCGGGUUGUAAACCUCUUUUAGCAGGGAAGAAGCGAAAGUGACGGUACCUGCGGAAAAAGCACCGGCUAACUACGUGCCAGCCGCCGCCGUAA
rnacentral:rRNA from 1 species